AAAGCAUUAUAGUAAAUGCAUGAAGAACAGAAUCAAGUAGCAGCAUGAGUUCUGAUCCCUUGGUGCUAGGAAGAAUUGCAUAUCUCAGGAAGUCAGCCAUUUAGAUUGUUAGAUAACAUGAAUAUACUGAAAAACUAAAUACCUUUAAGCAGCGGCUCUGUUGAAAGUAAGAGAAGUUUGUAUCAGUCAAAGUUUGAUCAGAAUGUCAGAACCACUAUGCAGGAUAUAAGGGCUGUAUAUUAGUCCGUUUUCAUGCUGCUGAUAAGACAUAACCCGCGAUUGGGCAAUUUACAAAAGGACAGGACUGUUUUCAAAAGGAGGGGAACAUUCUAGGCAUUUAUCCUGUAAGAAUAAUUGCACACAUAUGCAGAUGCAUGUUUAGGGAUGUUUGUCGUAUAGAAUGAUGAAAAACAACCUGCCUGUUCAUCUCUAUGGGAUUGGUUUUAUGGUAUAUCCAUUAAGUGGAAUAUGCUGCAGUCGAUAAAAACUGCAACUGCCACAGUUGCUUCCAACAGAAACCAAUUCAAAAAAGCCACCUGUAGAGUGAGCACUGCCAUUUCCUAAUCUGGGGUCUUCUCAUGCAGCCAUGGCCUCAGGUAGAGCAGGUGAGGCAAUACAGACUCCUGACAUUUAGUUUCUUACUCUGACUACGGCCACACUCUUGGGCUGCAGCAGUGCCCAGGAAGCUCUGAAAACUCAGGCUUGGUAGACAGUUCCUUUUGCAAUGCAUGUAAAAUGCUUAACAUGUGUAGCCCAUCCUUCAUAAAGGUUAGCCAUCAAGAGAAGAAUAUCUUUUAUUCUUAUAAUUACAGAUGACAAAUGCUCUCUUAAUGCUGUGGGGAUAGUGGUGGUUAUCAUUAUUGGUAUGUGGUUUUAUUUUAAAGGUCUAUGAAUCACAGGUACCUGACCAUUGGUUAAAUGAGCUGUAACUGGAUGGUCAUUAUGACCCAAGUGUGAGGGACUAGGGCUAGUAGAUACUUACUAUGAAUGACAGGGAAUCCUCACUGUGGGUAACUACUCAGAGUUUGUGAGUGAAGUGACUAUAGUAACCUGAAAAGAAGAAAGAAAAAAAUAAAUAAUCGUAUUGGAAAAUGUCAUUGUGUUUAGGAAUACUAAGACAUCGUAAAAAAAAAAUUAAAAGUAGGUAGUUUGUAGUAUAGGAUAUGGGGAAAGGAAACAUAUGUCAAAGUUUUUUACAAAAUUAAAGGGAACACAACUUACCAGAUGUCCCAAACUUAUGGGGAAAAAUUCUACAUUUCUCAAAUAGUUCAGAAUAAAUUUUCUUUCAUUUUUAACAUAUACUUCUUAGUAAAUCAUACUAGAUGACUUGUAAAAGUACAAUAAAAUAGAAUGUCACUUAUUUGUCUUUUUAGCACUAGUGUUUAUUUUUUUCUAAUAUUUAUAGAACACAUAUUGAGUACAACACACUCUACAAAGAGCUAUGAUUCAUACAGACAUAAGUAAGAAAUGAUCCCUGCCACUCAAAUCUAGUCAGACCAGGAAUUUCUGAAAUCUGUUACUUACGUUUCUCUUGAAA
rnacentral:lncRNA from 10 species